UCAGUUUACCAUAGAUGGAUAGAGACAAUACUCAAGGUAGGGGUAGGAUAUGAUAGAUAUGUAGUAUGGCACACACAGGAAUCGUCUCAAGAUAACAAAGCUAGGGAGGAGAUUGGAAAGAUGCGAGGAGGAGAGCAGAGGCAGCGAACAAUAAGGGAUUUCUUUUGUGCCUUAAAUAGGGAGCAGAGUAUAGAGGACUAUCAGCUUAUAUAAAAAAGAUACACAAUGUUAGUCCCUCUAUUCUGAAAUAAUGAACAAACUAUGACUAUUCUUGUUAGAUCAUAUUUUAAGUACA
rnacentral:lncRNA from 1 species